GCCAGUGGUAGCUCAGUGGUUAAGACCUUAGCCUCCUGCUUAGAAGAUCAUGAGUUCAAAUCCCAGCAUUGUCA